rnacentral:rRNA from 1 species
CAGUCGACGGUAACAGGUCUUCGGAUGCUGACGAGUGGCGAACGGGUGAGUAAUACAUCGGAACGUGCCCGAUCGUGGGGGAUAACGGAGCGAAAGCUUUGCUAAUACCGCAUACGAUCUACGGAUGAAAGCAGGGGACCGCAAGGCCUUGCGCGGACGGAGCGGCCGAUGGCAGAUUAGGUAGUUGGUGGGAUAAAAGCUUACCAAGCCGACGAUCUGUAGCUGGUCUGAGAGGACGACCAGCCACACUGGGACUGAGACACGGCCCAGACUCCUACGGGAGGCAGCAGUGGGGAAUUUUGGACAAUGGGCGAAAGCCUGAUCCAGCCAUGCCGCGUGCAGGAUGAAGGCCUUCGGGUUGUAAACUGCUUUUGUACGGAACGAAAAGACUCUUUCUAAUAAAGAGGGUCCAUGACGGUACCGUAAGAAUAAGCACCGGCUAACUACGUGCCAGCAGCCGCGGUAAUACGUAGGGUGCAAGCGUUAAUCGGAAUUAC